AUUGAACGCUGGCGGCAGGCCUAACACAUGCAAGUCGAGCGGAUGAGAGGAGCUUGCUUCUCGAUUCAGCGGCGGACGGGUGAGUAAUGCCUAGGAAUCUGCCUGGUAGUGGGGGACAACGUUUCGAAAGGAACGCUAAUACCGCAUACGUCCUACGGGAGAAAGCAGGGGACCUUCGGGCCUUGCGCUAUCAGAUGAGCCUAGGUCGGAUUAGCUAGUUGGUGAGGUAAUGGCUCACCAAGGCGACGAUCCGUAACUGGACUGAGAGGAUGAUCAGGCACACUGGAACUGAGACACGGUCCAGACUCCUACGGGAGGCAGCAGUGGGGAAUAUUGGACAAUGGGCGAAAGCCUGAUCCAGCCAUGCCGCGUGUGUGAAGAAGGUCUUCGGAUUGUAAAGCACUUUAAGUUGGGAGGAAGGGUUGUAGAUUAAUACUCUGCAAUUUUGACGUUACCGACAGAAUAAGCACCGGCUAACUCUGUGCCAGCCGCCGCCGUAA
rnacentral:rRNA from 1 species